rnacentral:rRNA from 1 species
GAUGAACGCUGGCGGCGUGCCUAAUACAUGCAAGUCGAGCGAACAGACGAGGAGCUUGUUCCUCUGACGUUAGCGGCGGACGGGUGAGUAACACGUGGAUAACCUACCUAUAAGACUGGGAUAACUUCGGGAAACCGGAGCUAAUACCGGAUAAUAUAUUGAACCGCAUGGUUCAAUAGUGAAAGACGGUUUUGCUGUCACUUAUAGAUGGAUCCGCGCCGCAUUAGCUAGUUGGUAAGGUAACGGCUUACCAAGGCAACGAUGCGUAGCCGACCUGAGAGGGUGAUCGGCCACACUGGAACUGGGACCCGGUCCAGACUCCUACGGGAGGCAGCAGUAGGGAAUCUUCCGCAAUGGGCGAAAGCCUGACGGAGCAACGCCGCGUGAGUGAUGAAGGUCUUCGGAUCGUAAGACUCUGUUAUUAGGGAAGACCAAAUGUGUAAGUAACUAUGCACGUCUUGACGGUACCUAAUCAGAAAGCCACGGCUAACUACGUG